CUUGCUGUGUAAAAUUUAGAACAUGCAUAUAUAGCUAUUGCAUUGUUUUCGGGACACCCUGCAUAGAAUUUUGAAAAUUCAUUAUUUGACUUCCUCAGAACAGCUAUAGUGUUCGUAAAGACCAAGAACAGUUCAAUUUGUUUUCCCCUUUAUUAAAAGUAAGGAGUUGAUUACAAAUUACAAUAAUAAAAUAUGCAUAUACAGGGUGUAUCAAAAAAACCGCAACCUCGGAAUUUCCCAAGAAAUCGACAUUGUUUUAAAGACAAAAGAUUUUAG